UACGUAGGGUGCGAGCGUUGCCCGGAUUUAUUGGGCGUAAAGAGCUCGUAGGCGGCUUGUCGCGUCGGCUGUGAAAACCCGCGGCUCAACUGUGGGCGGGCAGCUGAUACGGGCAGGCUGGAGUUCGGUAGGGUAGAGGGAAUUCCCGGUGUAGCGGUGAAAUGCGUAGAGAUCGGGAAGAACAUCGGUGGCGAAAGCGCUCUGCUGGACUGCAACUGACACUCAGGGACGAAAGCUAGGGGAGCGAAUGGG
rnacentral:rRNA from 1 species